UACGUAGGGAGCAAGCGUUGUCCGGAAUCAUUGGGCGUAAAGCGCGCGUAGGCGGCCCGGUAAGUCCGCUCUGAAAGUCCAGGGCUUAACCCUGGAAAGCGGGUGGAUACUGCCGGGCUAGAAUCCGGAAGAGGCGAGUGGAAUUCCUGGUGUAGCGGUGGAAUGCGCAGAUAUCGUAAGGAAGACCAGUGGCGAAGGCGGGUCUCUGGACAGUUCCUGACGCUGAGGCACGAAGGCCAGGGGAGCAAACGGG
rnacentral:rRNA from 1 species